UACGGAGGAUGCAAGCGUUAUCCGGAUUCAUUGGGUUUAAAGGGUGCGUAGGCGGCUUUUUAAGUCAGUGGUGAAAUCCUGCCGCUUAACGGUAGAAUUGCCAUUGAUACUGAAGAGCUUGAGUACAUUUGAGGUAAGCGGAAUGUGUAGUGUAGCGGUGAAAUGCUUAGAUAUUACACAGAACACCAAUUGCGAAGGCAGCUUACUAAACUGUAACUGACGCUGAUGCACGAAAGCGUGGGGAGCGAACAGG
rnacentral:rRNA from 1 species